GAUCAUGGCUCAGGAUGAACGCUGGCGGCGUGCUUAACACAUGCAAGUCGAACGAAGCACCUUGAUUUGAUUCUUCGGAUGAAGAUCUUGGUGACUGAGUGGCGGACGGGUGAGUAACGCGUGGGUAACCUGCCUCAUACAGGGGGAUAGCAGUUGGAAACGACUGGUAAAACCGCAUAAGCGCACGGUAUCGCAUGAUACAGUGUGAAAACACUCCGGU
rnacentral:rRNA from 1 species